CCUACGGGAGGCAGCAGUGGGGCAUAUUGGGCAAUGGGCGCAAGCCUGACCCAGCAACGCCGCGUGAGGGAAGAAGGCUUUCGGGUUGUAAACUUCUUUUCUGAGGGACGAAGAAAGUGACGGUACCUCGGGACUAGGCCACGGCUAACUACGUGCCAGCAGCCGCGGUAAUACGUAGGUGGCAAGCGUUAUCCGGAUUGAGUGGGUGUAAAGGGCGUGUAGGCGGGAAAGCAAGUCAGAUGUGAAAACUCAGGGCUCAACCCUGAGCCUGCAUUUGAAACUGUUUGUCUUGAGUGCUGGAGAGGCAAUCGGAAUGCCGGGUGUAGCGGUGAAAUGCGUAGAUAUACGGCGGAACACCAGUGGCGAAGGCGGAUUGCUGGACAGUAACUGACGCUGAGGCGCGAAAGCGUGGGGAGCAAACAGGAUUAGAUACCCGUGUAGUC
rnacentral:rRNA from 1 species